CCUACGGGAGGCAGCAGUAGGGAAUAUUGGGCAAUGGAGGCAACUCUGACCCAGCCAUGCCGCGUGAACGAAGAAGGCGCUAUGCGUCGUAAAGUUCUUUUAGAGGGGGCGAAAACACUUGAUUCAUCAAGUACUGACGGUACCUUCGGAAUAAGCACCGGCUAACUCUGUGCCAGCAGCCGCGGUAAUACAGAGGGUGCAAGCGUUAUCCGGAAUCACUGGGUUUAAAGGGUGCGUAGGCGGGAUUAUAAGUCAGAGGUGAAAUCUCGUCGCUUAACGACGGAAUUGCCUUUGAUACUGUUUUUCUUGAAAUUUGUUGAGGUUGGCGGAAUGAGACAUGUAGCGGUGAAAUGCUUAGAUAUGUCUUAGAACACCGAUUGCGAAGGCAGCUGACUGGACAAUAUUUGACGCUGAGGCACGAAAGCGUGGGGAUCAAACAGGAUUAGAUACCCUGGUAGUCCACGCCCUAAACGAUGUUUACUUGCUGUUUGUUUUUCGGAAUGAGGUGGCGAGCGAAGCGAUAAGUAACCACGUAGGGAGUACCGCCGACGAGGUAGAACGUACAAAGAGUAGACGGCGNGAGAGAGCGACGACGACGACGAGGAGGAGG
rnacentral:rRNA from 1 species